rnacentral:lncRNA from 1 species
GCAGCUCGGCGCGCGCGCUCCAGCGGGGAGCAGGCGACAACUAAUGGAGACAUUUCCAGGCGGAGCACCUGGCGAGCGGAGCGCGCCGGCGUCCCCAGGCGCCGCGGUCGUCAGCCGAGCCCGCACCGGCGUGACGUGGGCGAGCGAGCGCGCUGCUCCCACCCGGCCUCCCAUUAACGCUUUCUCCCGCGGGCGCCGCGCUCCUGCCAACUUUCCCUGCGCACGGGGUGCAGGCGCUGGGGUGAGGGCGCCUGGUUGCCGGUAGGGACGUUGGGCGCUGUCUGGGCGGUGACGCAGGGCUCCGGGAGGACACUCAGCCCUGACCCAACAGCAGGAAGGCGCGCGGGCCGGAUUUGGCCAAACGCUAAGCUCGCCGCGGCCGCGGGCUCUCGGCCCACGGGGCCCCUCUCCGCGUUGGGGCUGCCCCACCCAGGGACGCCUGCGCCCGGCGCGAGGAGCCGCGGCCGGAAAGAGCCAAGCUCGAGGUCGGCAGGGCUUCCCGAGUCCCUCCUAAGUGUCGGUACUUUUCCCCUCCCCCAGCACCCCCAGGGUCUGUGGAGGGCGAGGCUGUUUCUCCGGCCUGAGCCACCCUCGGAAUUGGCUGCGGGGCUCUCAGGCCUGGCCUUUCCUCCCCUGCCCCUCCCCCAAGUCCUUCCGUGCUAAGCGGCCCAGUUCUGGGUUUUCUCCUGGUGCCCACACUAGUCCCUACCCGGCCCACUCUCAGGACAGCAGGCGGUGGCAGGGCCAAAUUCUAGCUGCGGGCACCAGGGCCCGGGCAAGUCGGGAGCUGCUGCUUGCAGAGGUCAAGUCAGGCCCGGAAGGGAGGCUGGAGCAGCAGGUGACCAUCUGCUCAGAUCACAGCCGGAAGGGACUUGAGGAUGGCAGGGCCCAGGGCUCCUGGGGUGUGGAGGAGCUAAGGCGUGAGAGGCCACUUGCCAGCUAUUGGCCGGGCUGCGGCUGCAGGAACUUCCUGGUUGCCAUGCUGCAAGACAGCCUCACUCCUACCUGGAGGGUGUCCUUCCGGGCCGGGCUAUGGGGCAUUUGGGCCUUGUUCAUCGUCUUUUCCUCCACCCCCGUGGCUUCCACGCGGAAAGAAGAGGGCCCAGAGUGUCCAACCCACGUGCUGCAUCCGGAACCCCAGGGGUUCCCCUGGGAAGGACGGGCUUUGGUCUCUGGUCUGCUCUGGCGGGAGGAAGGUGGAGUGGACCACGAGGCGUGGCGCAGACUGUGCGUGCGCUGCGGCCUCUUCAACAGCAGCAGCAGUGAGGCCCUGAGGCCCACAGAUGCGGAGCCCAGGGGCACUGCUGGCCAGAAAGGCUCCACUUCUAGGAUCUUCAUAGCUCCGACAAAGUCAGGUGUCCUCUGA